rnacentral:misc_RNA from 1 species
UACGUAGGUGGCAAGCGUUGUCCGGAGUUAUUGGGCGUAAAGCGCGCGCAGGCGGCUUCUUAAGUCUGAUGUGAAAGCCCACGGCUCAACCGUGGAGGGUCAUUGGAAACUGGGAAACUUGAGUACAGAAGAGGAAAGCGGAAUUCCACGUGUAGCGGUGAAAUGCGUAGAGAUGUGGAGGAACACCAGUGGCGAAGGCGGCUGUCUGGUCUGUAACUGACGCUCAGGUGCGAAAGCGUGGGGAGCAAACAGG